CCUACGGGUGGCAGCAGUGGGGAAUAUUGCGCAAUGGGCGAAAGCCUGACGCAGCGACGCCGCGUGAGGGAUGAAGGUCUUCGGAUCGUAAACCUCUGUCAGCAGGGAAGAACGGUCACUGUGCUAAUCAGCAGUGACUUGACGGUACCUGCAAAGGAAGCACCGGCUAACUCCGUGCCAGCAGGCGCGGUAAUACGGAGGGGGCGAGCGUUAAUCGGAAUUAAUGGGCGUAAAGCGCUCGUAGGCGGUAUGUCAAGUCAGAGGUGAAAUCCCCGGGCUCAACGUGGGAACUGCCUUGGAAACUGGCAAUCUAGAGUGUGUGAGAGGUUAGUGGAAUUCCAGGUGUAGGAGUGAAAUCCGUAGAUAUCAGGAGGAACAUCAGUGGCGAAGGCGACUAUCUGGCACAUAACUGACGCUGAGGAGCGAAAGCGUGGGUAGCAAACAGGAUUAGAUACCCGAGUAGUC
rnacentral:rRNA from 1 species